GGGUAAGAUCAUUGGUUGGUAUAUACGAAUGUUCAGCUGAACCCCGAUGUGUUGAUUUGUUUUAGUACUGCGACUCAAGUAUUUGUAUAGUGACAUUGUACAAAUUUUGUGCAACUUGUUCAAUAAUAUUACCAGUAUCAUUUGUACGGUUUCAUUUGGUCGGAUAGUGAUAACAUAUUUUAGGGGACAGAAAUGUAUUAUAUAAAUAUCUAUAUAACGUAGUUUCUUCUGCUGUAUUUUGUUGAUUGUACUUGCUCGAUAAAUUUUCGUAUUAUAACUGGAAAUUUCUACUUUCCAGGAUUAUCCAGUAACUUAACCAUAUAUAUUACCCUAAACUUCACAGUUAUAAUAUUUAUCAAAUAUAUUUAUU
rnacentral:lncRNA from 1 species